GACGAACGCUGGCGGCGUGCUUAACACAUGCAAGUCGAACGGAAGGGCCUGCUUUCCCUUGUGGAUUGCGGGUACUCGAGUGGCGAACGGGUGAGUAACACGUGAGUGAUCUGCCCCCAACUUGGGUAUAAGCCUGGGAAACUGGGUCUAAUUCCCGAUAGGACUGCAGGGUGGUGCCUGUGGUGGAAAACGAUUUUCUAGUGGUUGGGGAUGAGCUCGCGGCCUAUCAGCUUGUUGGUGGGGUAAUGGCCUACCAAGGCGGCGACGGGUAGCCGGCCUGAGAGGGUGGACGGCCACAUUGGGACUGAGAUACGGCCCAGACUCCUACGGGAGGCAGCAGUGGGGAAUAUUGCACAAUGGGCGGAAGCCUGAUGCAGCGACGCCGCGUGGGGGAUGACGGCCUUCGGGUGGUAAACUCCUUUCGACCGCGAGGAAGCCACCUGGUUGGAAGGGUGGUGACGGUAGUGGUAGAAGAAGCACCGGCUAACUACGUG
rnacentral:rRNA from 1 species